rnacentral:rRNA from 1 species
AAAUUGAAGAGUUUGAUCAUGGCUCAGAUUGAACGCUGGCGGCAGGCCUAACACAUGCAAGUCGAGCGGUAGCACAGAGAGCUUGCUCUCGGGUGACGAGCGGCGGACGGGUGAGUAAUGUCUGGGAAACUGCCUGAUGGAGGGGGAUAACUACUGGAAACGGUAGCUAAUACCGCAUAACGUCGCAAGACCAAAGUGGGGGACCUUCGGGCCUCAUGCCAUCAGAUGUGCCCAGAUGGGAUUAGCUAGUAGGUGGGGUAACGGCUCACCUAGGCGACGAUCCCUAGCUGGUCUGAGAGGAUGACCAGCCACACUGGAACUGAGACACGGUCCAGACUCCUACGGGAGGCAGCAGUGGGGAAUAUUGCACAAUGGGCGCAAGCCUGAUGCAGCCAUGCCGCGUGUAUGAAGAAGGCCUUCGGGUUGUAAAGUACUUUCAGCGGGGAGGAAGGCGUUAAGGUUAAUAACCUUGACGAUUGACGUUACCCGCAGAAGAAGCACCGGCUAACUCCGUGCCAGCAGCCGCGGUAAUACGGAGGGUGCAAGCGUUAAUCGGAAUUACUGGGCGUAAAGCGCACGCAGGCGGUCUGUCAAGUCGGAUGUGAAAUCCCCGGGCUCAACCUGGGAACUGCAUUCGAAACUGGCAGGCUAGAGUCUUGUAGAGGGGGGUAGAAUUCCAGGUGUAGCGGUGAAAUGCGUAGAGAUCUGGAGGAAUACCGGUGGCGAAGGCGGCCCCCUGGACAAAGACUGACGCUCAGGUGCGAAAGCGUGGGGAGCAAACAGGAUUAGAUACCCUGGUAGUCCACGCCGUAAACGAUGUCGAUUUGGAGGUUGUGCCCUUGAGGCGUGGCUUCCGGAGCUAACGCGUUAAAUCGACCGCCUGGGGAGUACGGCCGCAAGGUUAAAACUCAAAUGAAUUGACGGGGGCCCGCACAAGCGGUGGAGCAUGUGGUUUAAUUCGAUGCAACGCGAAGAACCUUACCUGGUCUUGACAUCCACAGAACUUAGCAGAGAUGCUUUGGUGCCUUCGGGAACUGUGAGACAGGUGCUGCAUGGCUGUCGUCAGCUCGUGUUGUGAAAUGUUGGGUUAAGUCCCGCAACGAGCGCAACCCUUAUCCUUUGUUGCCAGCGGUUAGGCCGGGAACUCAAAGGAGACUGCCAGUGAUAAACUGGAGGAAGGUGGGGAUGACGUCAAGUCAUCAUGGCCCUUACGACCAGGGCUACACACGUGCUACAAUGGCAUAUACAAAGAGAAGCGACCUCGCGAGAGCAAGCGGACCUCAUAAAGUAUGUCGUAGUCCGGAUUGGAGUCUGCAACUCGACUCCAUGAAGUCGGAAUCGCUAGUAAUCGUAGAUCAGAAUGCUACGGUGAAUACGUUCCCGGGCCUUGUACACACCGCCCGUCACACCAUGGGAGUGGGUUGCAAAAGAAGUAGGUAGCUUAACCUUCGGGAGGGCGCUUACCACUUUGUGAUUCAUGACUGGGGUGAAGUCGUAACAAGGUAACCGUAGGGGAACCUGCGGUUGGAUCACCUCCUUA